rnacentral:lncRNA from 1 species
GUAUUCAUCUCUUUCUCUUUCUCUAAUUUUAUAUUUGUAUUGUUAAGAUGGUAUCAAGAGCGUGGUUUGAUCCGCUUUGAAAGAUUUAUCGCUUUCGCCGUUGAAUUCCCAAAAGUUUGGAAAAGUAUUUGGUUUAGUCUUUGAUGAUCGGUUCAGAUUAUACACUGCAAUAUUCGGUUUGUUCUCUUCAUCGGUUUGUUUCUUAUUGUAUUUACUAAUUUGCAAUAUUGGUGCUUUGAUGAUUGGUUUAAAACAAAAAAAAAACUUUUGUUGAAUCCCGAUCUAAGGUAUCUCUUUUGGAAUUGAAAUUUUGCAAUUUGGAGAAUGAAGCCGGCUCCAUGUUUAUUUGAUUCUCAUUGGUUGGUCAGUCAAUGUUGCACAAUUUUGUUUUUUUUUGGAUUAGAGUUCUCGCAUGGAUUUGGGUAUUGGUGAGUACAUAUACUCAUUAGACAAAUUUUGUGUUUUAAUUUUGUUUGAAACAUGGGUUCAUGAUUUUCCUAGUCUUCGUGCCUUCUUAUUAAUUGUUUUGAGCUUUGUUUCUUUUCCUUUUGUCAUUUUGCUGCAAUCAUGGUUGCUUUUGAGAUUUUCAUUAAAAUUGGAUUGAAAGGUGUUGUGAAUCCGGAUAAAACUCACACCAAUGAAAAUAAAGAUGUGUGGAGCAAAAGGGAGUGGUAAUCUAUGAGUAAAGAGUCUCCAAGCAAACAACAACAAAACAGCCCUAGACUAGUGUAGAGCAACACCACAAGAUAAUACAAAGCAAACAAGAUAAGCUAGAAAAGGAAGAACAAACACACCAAGAAGAUUGUUGACCCAGUUCAGCCAAUAUGGCCUAAUCUGGGGGAGAGAGCAGCUAUCCAAUGCACUAAGAUGAAAGUGUUACAAAGGGUUACAAGAAAAAUAGCUUGCAAGCUUACACAAGAACAAGUCCUAGAUUCUACCCUUUGGUGUUUCCCCACUCUCACAAUGUGAACCCUAAAAGAGAAGACACUAGAGGAAGCUUUAGAUCCUUCCAAUGGUGAACUCCUCACUACCCAAGGUGAUUACAAUGUUUUUCCCAACCCAAGAGACACUUUCUACAAAGACACUCAACCCUUUGGUUCCCUCCUUUGUAAUCCAAGUUUCUCUCUCUUAGCUCUUCCAAGCUCUACUCCAAAAAUGCACAAGAACACUUUAUAUACUAGCUUUCCUCUGAUACAAUCGUGCCACGAUUUCCAGAUCGUGUCACGAUUUGCGUACGUCCCAAGGUAUGACCAGUCCUUAUCAAGGAUACUUAACGAGCAAGUUUGAAAAUCGUGUCACGAUUUCCCAAGAUCGUGUCACGAUUUGGCACCCUGCAAACUAGCUCACGGCAUCACGAAAUUGUGUCACGAUGCCAAAUUCGUGUCACGAUUUCUGUGUUCUUCCAGACCACAAAUUUGAAACCAAAUAUCAACAAAAGGUCAUUUGUGUUUCAUUUCAGGUUCCAUGAGUUUUGCAUUUGGACAGUUUUUAGUUUAUUUAUUUGAGUCUAGUUCUCUAUUUGUAGGUUUUUUUGAGUCUUCGUGUGUUUCAUUGUGUUUGUGUUUGGUUAAUUGGUUGUUUGUCUAUGUCUGUCUUGGUUGCUUUGGUUCAGCUUGUCUUGGUUCGUUUGGUUUUGUUCGUUUUGGUUCUUCAAGUUGUCUUGAUUUGGUUUGGUUCAAUUUGUUUGGUUGUUGGGUGAGUCAAAAUAGUGCUCACAAUUGGUUUGUUCGUUUGUUUGGUAUGUAAAGCACUCAUAAUUUGCUUGUUGGGUGAGUCGAGUUCUCACAUUAUGGUUGUUUGGUGAGCGUGUGCUUACAAUUUGCUUCUUUUGAUUCUUCAAUUUGGUUGUUUGGUGAGCCGACUUCUCACAAUUUGGUUGUUUGGUGAGUCGAGUGCUCACAAUUUUGUUUCUUCCCCCCUUCUGAUUCUUCAAUUUGGUUGUUUGGUGAGUCUAGUUCUCACAAUUUGGUUUCUUCUCCCCCUUUUGAUUCUUCAAUUUGGUUGUUUGGUGAGUCUAGUUCUCACAUUUGGUUGUUUGGUGAGUUGAGUGCUCACAAUUUGGUUUUUCUCCCCCCUUUUGGUUCUUCUAAUAGAUUGCACUUCUCCCCCUUUUGGUUCUUCUAAUGCACUUCUCCCCCUUUUGGUUCUUCUGAUUGAUUGUAUUUCUCCCCCUUUUGAUUCUUCUGAUUGCACUUCUCCCACUUUUGAUGAUUCUUUGGAUACUACUCUAUUGGUUCUGGAUCUUAUGUAUGACUGCUUCUCUCUAAUGGUUCUAUUGUUUGGAUGGUUCUCUAUUUGAUUGGUUGAUGGUGAUGGUUCUUGCUGCUCUCUCUAUGAAGAUAACUCAUUUUGGUUGCUGCUCUUCAUUGGUUCUGCUAGCAGCUGAUUUGGUUUAUUUUUCUGGGUUAAUUUGUAACAAGCUUAAAGCUUAGUAAGCUUUAGCUUGAGGGGUAGUGUUAGAACUUUAUAUUAUUUAGUAUGUUUUUUCGUAUUUUGUUUGACAAACUCACAAUCCUUCUUGUUGAUUCAUUGUGAGUUUGAGGGUAGAUUUUAGACAAUAAAGUAUUGAGCUUCAGUUAUUGGGCCUUUACACUAGUAAGUUAGAGUCUAUUAGGUUUUAUUAUAUAUUCUCUUAUAACCUUCUGUAAUGUUAAGCAAUUGAUAUUAUAUGAAACCUAGCCUCCGUUGUUAU